GUGGCGAACGGGUGAGUAACACGUGAGUAACCUGCCCCCGACUCUGGGAUAACUGCUAGAAAUGGUAGCUAAUACCGGAUAUGACGACUGGCCGCAUGGUCUGGUCGUGGAAAGAAUUUCGGUUGGGGAUGGACUCGCGGCCUAUCAGGUUGUUGGUGAGGUAAUGGCUCACCAAGCCUACGACGGGUAGCCGGCCUGAGAGGGUGACCGGCCACACUGGGACUGAGACACGGCCCAGACUCCUACGGGAGGCAGCAGUGGGGAAUAUUGCACAAUGGGCGCAAGCCUGAUGCAGCAACGCCGCGUGAGGGAUGACGGCCUUCGGGUUGUAAACCUCUUUUAGUAGGGAAGAAGCGAAAGUGACGGUACCUGCAGAAAAAGCACCGGCUAACUACGUGCCAGCAGCCGCGGUAAUACGUAGGGUGCAAGCGUUGUCCGGAAUUAUUGGGCGUAAAGAGCUCGUAGGCGGUUUGUCGCGUCUGCUGUGAAAUCCCGAGGCUCAACCUCGGGUCUGCAGUGGGUACGGGCAGACUAGAGUGCGGUAGGGGAGAUUGGAAUUCCUGGUGUAGCGGUGGAAUGCGCAGAUAUCAGGAGGAACACCGAUGGCGAAGGCAGAUCUCUGGGCCGUAACUGACGCUGAGGAGCGAAAGCAUGGGGAGCGAACAGGAUUAGAUACCCUGGUAGUCCAUGCCGUAAACGUUGGGAACUAGAUGUGGGGACCAUUCCACGGUCUCCGUGUCGCAGCUAACGCAUUAAGUUCCCCGC
rnacentral:rRNA from 1 species